UACGUAGGGUGCAAGCGUUAAUCGGAAUUACUGGGCGUAAAGCGUGCGCAGGCGGUUGUGCAAGACAGGUGUGAAAUCCCCGGGCUUAACCUGGGAACUGCGUUUGAAACUACAAGGCUAGAGUGUGGCAGAGGGGGGUGGAAUUCCACGUGUAGCAGUGAAAUGCGUAGAGAUGUGGAGGAACACCGAUGGCGAAGGCAGCCCCCUGGGUUAACACUGACGCUCAGGCACGAAAGCGUGGGGAGCAAACAGG
rnacentral:rRNA from 1 species